CACCGUAAGGUCAUAUUUCACUAAUGAAUCAAAGAAAAAAUGAGUUUGCAUGAAGAAAAUUCUUCUUUUUUAACGUUGUUUACAAUUACAUACAUUGUUUGUUUGUUGUGAUAUUAAUUUCAUGAGACUUCAACACUUGCAUUAAUGGUACAGAUGUAUAACCCCCCACAUACACACACACACAUGUGCGCUUGUUUUGUGCUAUUCACCCGUACGUUCAUUCUUGACUGUUUUAAAGUGUUUUAAAGUGAAGCCCGGUCGCUGUCUGCGGAGUUGUGCUUCACUUGAGCUGUAAAUUAGCUAAUUAGCUGCAUAAUUGGCCGAAUUAAAGCUCCAAUCAGUGAAGCUUUUGCUGUCAGAGGUCCUCCAGGUAACUUAAAUCAGCUGUCGCUCGAGACUCUGAAAGGAAGACAAAUUUGCCCAGCCGAGCGAGUAAUGACCCGAGCCUCGAGUAAGGAGGUCUGAGGAAAGCAAACAAAAGAGCUUUGAUUAGCGCAAAGGCCUCUUCAUACUCUGCAGAAGAGCAGCUUCGUUACUGUGUGUUUUCCUCUCAGAUGCAUCCGUCUGCUGCCUGCUGUGAGCUGGACGAGAUGCAUCAGGUCACCUGUGCUUCAGAUCACUCUUCAGACCUGUCUGUUGUUUUCAUUCUGUUCAACCCGAGGAGGAAUUUAUGCAGCCUUGGUCUGUCGAGCCCGAAAAAGGACAAGAAAUGUAUGACAUCAGAAGAUGUGAAAAACAGCACACAGAAGCAUCAGCUAAAUCCAGCCUGCCAUAUUAACUGGCCGAGAGGACAAGUGAAGCACUUAAUCUGCCAUCCUGAAUCGCGUGCAAACGAGCGGAUGGGUACCAAACUCCUGUCUGGAGCACAAGAGGGUGGAACGGGGCGUUCCUGGUGUCUAGCAGUGGUCGAUACUCACGCCAGGAGGACUGAAGGGUGCACCGCAGGCCGGCCGGCAUUAUGUGUGAAUGUUUGCAGCUGACGACACACACCGCUGCGGAUCUUUGAGUUCAUCCUCUGUGCUGCGCGAAAUCGAUGCCCGACGCUGCUUUGAAGAAACUCGUCAUGUGAAGACAACCAUUUGCAAAACCAGUUGAGCUGAGAGAGGACAGGAAGUUCUAAAUGAUGGCCAUUUUGAAAGCUUAAAAAAUUAUGCAAACGUAAUUGACAUUUCUGCAAACUUCAAUACAUUUCUUUAUUUUGUAGUUGGCAUGGCAUUGCAAAAACGUUCUCAC
ensembl:lncRNA